GCGGGCAUAGCUCAGUUGGGAGAGCGUCAGACUGAAGUUAACUUCAAUCACUUAAUCUGAAGGUCGUGUGUUCAAUCCACACUGACCGCA
rnacentral:tRNA from 2 species